GUAAAGGAUGCAGUUGGUACACUUUAUUUUUUCUAAAAAUGUGUUGGGGGGGGGGGGGGGGGGCUUUUGUCAAACCACUGACUUUGGGGAUUUAAAAUUUGUAAUAGUAGGUGUCCUGUGCUUAAGUCUUACGUAAAUUAAAAAAAAAAUCAAUAAUUUUGAAUGUUUACUCUGUCUACUGAUGAAUGAGACAAUAUCCUCAGCGAAUUAAAAAUUCUAUUCGAGCAGUGCUCAAACAAUAGAAUCAAUCAAUUUCCAACAUAAUUGUUCUCUGUAAAUUGGUAUUCUUUUGUCGAGUUUAAGUUCUGGGUUGAUCGAAUUCUUUUGGUAUUUCCUAAUGAUAGGUUUUUUAAACACCUUUAUCAUGUUGGAUAAAAAACUUUAAAAUAUAGUGCUGCAAAGUGUAAAACGCAGUCCUGUGGCAUAGACACGUCAGCGUAUUACUAUUCGAGUAGUACGAUUGGUCCUCUGACACCGACUUCAGAGGAACUUCAUCUUCCCGUCUAAUAAUGAAAAAUAAUUAUGCUCUUUAUCGUGUUCAUAUUUCUUGCAGUCAGAAAAAAGGAAGAAAGGGCUAUGCUGUUGUAAUUGAUACAAUAUACUGGUGUAUGUUUUUUAUCACUUUGUUUGUUCUUAUAAAAGUGAACAAUUAAUAUCACAAACAUUGAAUUGGUACAUAUUUAAUUAGGAGAAAUGUAUGCCUUAAGUUUGUUAUUAACUGACUAAGGAAAGGUAUCGGGUCGAUCAGUCCCAUAGACGGCGAGGUUUCGCAGUCAGUAAAAAACCUACUGUUUUGUUUUUCUGAGGUUUAUCAAUUGAGCAUUUAUUUAAGAAGAAGCGAUGAUAUUCAAAAAUUCAUGCAAAAAGUGACCCUACAAUCAUGUACAUCUUGUCCAAUUUGACACAGUCGAAAUCUUUAAAAUAAUAAAUCUUCAUUUGAGAAUCUUUGCUGCACAAUUGCAUUGUUAUUUAAUUGUUGAUGUUUGCUCCAGUCUCCCCGAUGAAGUUUAAGCAAAUCUAGAAGCUUCUAUUUUAUUCUGCUCCAAACACAACAAUUGAACGUAAUUUAAAAGAGCAAAUACUCUAAUUUAAAAGUAAUUUUAAUGGACAAUUGCUACAAUUUUUUAAAAAAACUCAGAUUCUGUAUUUAUUCUUAUGAAAAAUCAACAUGAAUAGGAGAAUUGUCUGCCAUAUUGCCGAAUAUCAACCCUCGCCGAAAAGACAAAGAGACCAAUUCAAUCACACAAAUGACAAAUCGUAACCAUUGCUGAAUAAUUUUGGAAUACGGAAAAAUGUCACAUGUCACAUUAGAAAAUAAAGAAUAUCAUCGUAAUUCAGACUGUCAUUAUCAACAUUACCAUCAUCGAAAUAUUGUUAUUCACCAUCACAAACACCACCAUCACCACCACCAACCCCACCAUCGUCGUCAACAUCAUCAUCAUCAUCAUCAUCAUCAUCAUCAUCAAAACAUCGUCAUCAACAUCACCGUCUGCUUCAUCAAAUUACCAAUCAAAACAAUACGGCACAACAAUAUGUUAGCAACACUAUAACACAACAAAAUUAUCUCUGAGCUGUAUAAUAUUAGUAGCAUUUUUAUUAUUACAUAUGUAUUAAUAUAAAAUAUUGUAUUUAAAGACAACAUUUAAUACAGUCUGUGUAUUCUAGUCUCAUAGAAUCACUAAGUAACGUGAAUGCAUUAGUAUUCUAAGAUAGCGGUAAACAAAUGACGUCAUACUUCCGGUGGCUAACUUCCGCUAAACCAUAUAAAUGAAAAUGUAACAUCAAAAAUAAAGCAUAUAAACUACAUUUUAAAGCACAAUUUUAUAAUACAGUAAUACGAUAAACCUAACGAUUGACAAAAUAAAAUUCCCUUUAAACGCUCUCUUUAAAGUCACACCUGAGCGCACACAUAGGUAACAUCGCUGUGAAUUAUAGCCAAGGUGACUUUAUAGGACGGAUAUUCAUAAUUAAUGAAAUACAAAAUUUACAUUGAUUAAAGUACUAAAUCAAUACUCCCGACGGUCCUCUUUCUAUAUCCUUGUCAAACUGUUUCAACACAGUAUGCCACACAAGAUUGAUCUAAACUGCCCCCUCACAUAUGCGUUUCACUAGCUUGACAGGUCUGAACUAGCACCUAUUCAUAGGGUCGGCUCAGCUCAUUGUAAAGAAAUAUGGGGAAAAGAUAUAUUGGGUAUGUUCGAUUGGCACAGUUAAUGUCAUACUCUGUGACGUCAUUUGUUUUAUUCUGAAUAUGUAAUUAUUUGACUUAAAUCUCUUCAUUAACAUGGAUGACAAAAAUGACAAUUAUACAAACUGUCAACCAUCUCAAAAAUCCAUAAAACGAAAUACAAAUUCAAGGCAGAGCAACACGGACCACUAAAAAGAUAGAGGUAGGAUCAGGUGCGUCGGAGGAGUGAGUAUCUUCUGCUGACCGGAAAAAGGAAAAGUCAGUAGACAAUUAGGUGAUCAAUUAUGGUCUAACAAUUAUUAUGGGAAACACCAGUCAACAUGCAAUCCAAUGGAAGAUUAAAGUACCUUGUUAUGUUAUAUUAUGCUUUUUUUUUUCUUUGGGAAUUAAAAAUAUAUCAUGUUUAUUAAAUUUAUUGUUAAAACAAUUUGCACAAUCUUUUAAAUUAAUCAUCGUCUUACCUAUCAAGAGCAAUGAACACAAUUGAGGUAAACUGUUGGGUUUCCCUAGCAUGAUGCAUAUAUGCACGAAUAUUCCUUCAGAUCUUUGAGUCGCUUAGAACAUGUAUAUUCAAUUCAAAUAUCCAUAGUAUCUCAUAUUCAAAUUGUAAUACAUUAGAUCAAAUAUUCUUUUCAACAACAAAUUAUGAUUCUGUUGUAGUCUGUAAUGAAAAUGACCAUUCACAUAUUGAAAAUUUUAUCGUCGUGUAGUUAAGAUCUAUUUUGAAAAGAAAUAAUCAUAUUGUUUUCUAAUUUGUACAGUAAUUAAUAGGUAAACAACUUAAAAGUUUCUUAGGCUUCACAUCGUUGUAUGAAUUGGUACUGUGCUGUUUACUUAUUUAACUAUUAUAAACAGGUCUUAUAUUUGUUCUUUUCAAAUCUUACAAAAUUAAAGAAAAUGAAUAUUCACUGUCGCAUAGUAAAACAAAAAGUUUGUCCGACACUCUGAAAUGAAAUAAGUGUAUUUUACUAAUGCUUACAAUCAAACCAAACUGUAUUUUUCUCUAGGGAACUUUCAUCAUGAAAUGAAAAUACAUGAAGAGUUACAACAAGAUGUUUAAGGCAAAUAUCUCCGGAAUAUUUGCUGCCUACAUUGGCUGUCGUCACGUCAAAUAUUUGGCCCAAAACAUGUUGUUCAAUGCCCAGAGUAGCAACUUCUUCCUAAUGCCAACGUUUUCGCAGAAAAGAGAAACGCAAUUUAUAUUUUUAAAGGGGACGUGGACCAUGGGACAUUGAAGUAAGGCAAUUAAGAGCAAAACGCUUGAUAGUUACCAAUGUACUUCCCUCAGACGACAUUAUUUUUCAGAACCACUGGGCAGAUUUCAACUAAAAUUGGCACAAAGCACCACUCGGUGAAGGGGAUUCAAGUUUCUGCAAAUGAAAGGCCACGCCCUCUUUAAAGAGGAGAUAAUUGAGAAUUAUUGAAAAUGUGUUGGUAAUUUUCAAAAAUCUUCUCAAAAACUAUUCGGCCUCAAAUGCGUAAACCUGUGUGGAGGCAUCCUCAGCCUGCUGUGUAAUUGACCACUGACGUAUUGUGCAUGUACGUAUUAUCGUCUUAUAAUCAUCGUAACAACCUAUUUUGAAAAGGAUUGAGAAUUGUGUUUCCAAUUUGUAAAGUAAUAACAAGAACUUCAAUCAUAAAAUGAAAGAUCAUAAAAAUCCAUGUACCUUUACAACAAAAUGUUUGAGGCAAACAUCUCCGGAACAUUUGUUGCCUCUAUUGGCUGCCAUCAGGUCAAAUGUUUGGCCUAAAUGAUGAUCUUCUCUACCAUUCCACUGAAGUUUUCGCAGAAAAAGAAAACCAAUACAUUUUUAGGACCAUAGGACAUCUCAGUGAAGAAAUUAAGUUGAAAAAAGACACUCAAUCAACGUGUCUAACUUGUCUGGAAGAAAAUGGUACCUGAUUCCUUUAAAGACGAGAGGUACAGAAUAGAUGGAUCCGUCAGACAAUUAUGGUUUUCUUCCAACAGAGCAGAUUACCAUUGGUCUGUUGUCCAAUCUUCACCUUGGACCUUCCGAUCAUUUAAUCGACGGCUCAUUGUACCACGCUGCCAAUGGUCUAGUGGACCAUUCUAUCAUUUGUCUGCUUGUCCACCAUUUUCUGGCACCAACAGCAGACGUUGGCGCAAUUGCACCAAUGAUCAAUCACAGAGUAAAUGGAUUAUAGGUCUAUCUCUUUGUCUCUCUUCCGGCUUAUUGCUCUAUUGGACCAAGAGAGGAUUGUUCCAUGAAAUCAUGGUAUCAGCGAUCCCUCAAAUCAAGAUACAAUUGCAUUUUCCAAAAUGGGUGCCAAUGUUGUUUCCAAUUAAGGUCAAAGUGUCACAUCAUACCAUAGUAACUUCAUGGCGUUUUUGUACUAUGGUAUCACUGUUUCGUCGGACAAAGGUACCACUACUGCACAUAUCUAAAGUUCUUGCUCUGCCUCGUUAAAUAUGCCAUGUUUUCAAAAAAUAUAUUUCCCACUUGCAAAAAAGAAAAAAAAAGGUGUUCCCAAAUAUUUAACAAUGAUUUAGAAAUGAAAAAAUACAAGUAUUGAAAAAGGAUUUUAUAUAUAAAAAAUGUGAUUUAGAGCUUCAUUAUGAUUAUGAUGUUCUGUAGAAUUAGAUUUUUAUUUCAAGUUGGUAACAAAAUCAACUCUGAGUGAUAGGCAACUCUGGGACUAAAUACAUACUUUUUAUGUGUAACUAUUUGGAAUUAAAGCAAUGAUGAAUAUUUACAAGUAAAUGUGUUCAUUUUUGGAUUAUCUUUCUGCGUCUGAAUAAA